CAGCAGCAGGAGGAGGAGGAGGAGGAGGAGGAGGAGGAAAAGGAGGAGUUGGAGGAGGAAUAAUGACCAUCGGAGCGAGCACGACUGGAGUAGCAGCAGGAGGAGGAGGAGGAGGAGGAGGAGGAGGAGGAGGAGGAGGAGGAGGAGGAGGAGGAGGAGGAGGAGGAGGAGGAAUAGUAAGACGAGCAAGCCUAGGGAACCAACCGACGCAGGAGAGAUGGGUUUGUCCAAAUGAUAGACACCUCGCGCUUAGAGCCAAGCUGAAGAUGGGCUGGUCAACUUCACAACCCACGCCUGUUACCCGCCAGGACUCCCUAUCUGAGGAGGAGACCAAAAUUAUCCUAGAGGUCAUCAAGAGAGCUGAGGAACUGGAGACGAAGGAGCAACUUAGGAUUGGUCGGCUGGUGGAGAAGGUGGAGACGAUGAAGCACAGAACCCAAGGCAACGGAAGCAACAACUGCAUCCUUUGUGGAGAGGGCCUUCCUGUGCUGAGAGCGGCGAGUCACGCGUGUGGGGACUGCUCCAAGCGAGUGUGUAGCAAGUGCGGGGUGGACACGAUAAGCACAACGGGGAGAAGCUGUGGCUGUGUAAGAUCUGCGCUGAGACGAGGGAGAUGUGGAAGCGAUCUGGUGCCUGGUUCUUCCGUGGCCUGCCUAAGUAUAUUCUGCCAGCCACCUCCCACUCCGCGCCAGGCUCCACCACUACUAGUAAGAGGUCCCGCGCCCCGCCUCGCCGUGCCCUAACUGUUGGCAUGAAGGCCAGUGGGAGUGAGGAUGACCACCACCACCACCACCAUCACCACCACGACGAGGAGAAUCAGAGACGACUAAGGAAGGUGGCCAGUGAAUGUGUGGGGCGACCACGACCAGCCCCCCACCACCCCUCUCACCCCCCGGCUAGCCCACACCCAAGAUCUCGCAGUAUCUCGCCUUCCCCGUUCCGGUUUGACUCCCAGGACUCGGCAGGGGGCGGCAGGGACAGCUCUGAUGACCACGCCUCAGAUAAAAGUCCCUUGUCCCCAGUCUUCUUCCUCUUCCUUUUCCUCCUCCCUGUCCUCCUCCUCCUCCUCCUCCACUUCUUCCUCUUCCUCCUCCUCAUCCUCCUCCUCCUCCUCCUCCUCCUCCUCCUUGAUAUGUAGUGUAGUAAGAAUGGAAAAAGACUAAAGACGGAAAUUUAUCUAAGAAGAAGAAGAAGAAGAAGAAGAAGAAGAAGAAGAGGAAGAAGAGGAAGGAAGGAAAAUAAAAAGAACCAAUUUUAUAUACCUCAUUAUUUGAUUUCUUUAAGACUGGCGGGUGAAAUUAAUUAGCUAUCUAGGAGGAGGAGGAGGAGGAGGAGGAGGAGGAGGAGGAGGAGGAGGAGGAGGAGGAGGAGGAGGAGGAGGAGGAGGAGGGAUGGAUAGAAGAGGGAGAUGGUGCGGAAGAGGGAAUGAGCCGUGACCCAGCGCGACCUCAGCCGCGCCCCAAGUCGGGAGAGUGGGGGGGAGGUAGGACCACUCCUCCUCUCCCCUUACUACUCCUCCUCCUCUCCCCACCAGCUCAGCCCCAGGACGGAACUUAGAAGAGACGUCGCCAUAGACAGGUCACCCUCACCACUGCUAAGGGUGGCGUGGCGAGACUCCGGCCGUGGCUCCAACUCCUCCGUUAGUGACUCACCAAAUCUGAGCCGAGAGGACGGUGAGGGCGGUGGCGCAGGGGACACGGGAAGCGGCCCUGUCACCCCUAACCCUUCCAGCGACCCCAUGCACCCUGCUGGCCCCUCCACCCCUCGCUCCCCCCUCCCCAUGAACCGUAGUAGCAGCAGCAGCAGUGGGAGCAUGGGGCAGGGGGCGGCGGCAGGGGUGGCAGCCUCUCCUACAGUCAAUGGUUUUUGGUCUCGCCGUGGGUCCGAAGCUUCAAAGGAGGAGAAAAGGCAUCCUAAGCUUAGCAGAUCUCCCGCCACCUCCAGGGAGUCCAGGGGGUCACGAGAUUCAAAGGACUCAAUGUUGUCGCGGAAUUCUUCGAGUAAGGACGAGGUGACAACUAACAGCAGCAUGGACGACGUUUUCUCCACCACCAGCCUGCAGGGACGCGACCAGCAGGGA